CCUACGGGUGGCAGCAGUGGGGAAUAUUCCGCAAUGGGCGAAAGCCUGACGCAGCGACGCCGCGUGAGGGAUGAAGGUCUUCGGAUCGUAAACCUCUGUCAGCAGGGAAGAACGGUCACUGUGCUAAUCAGCAGUGAAUUGACGGUACCUGCAAAGGAAGCACCGGCUAACUCCGUGCCAGCAGCCGCGGUAAUACGGAGGGUGCGAGCGUUAAUCGGAAUUACUGGGCGUAAAGCGCUCGUAGGCGGUAUGUCAAGUCAGGGGUGAAAUCCCAGGGCUCAACGUGGGAGCUGCCUUGGAAACUGGAAAACUGGAGUGGGUGAGAGGAGAGUGGAAUUCCAGGUGUAGGAGUGAAAUCCGUAGAGAUAUGGAGGAACAUCAGUGGCGAAGGCGACUAUCUGGCACAUAACUGACGCUGAGGAGCGAAAGCGUGGGUAGCAAACAGGAUUAGAUACCCUUGUAGUC
rnacentral:rRNA from 1 species